GUGCUCACUUCGGCAGUACAUAUACUAAAAUUGGAACGAUACAGAGAAGAUUAGCAUGGCCCCUGCGCAAUUUAAUAAAAAAAAGAAAGAAAAAUGAAUUUG